UACGGAGGGUGCGAGCGUUGUCCGGAAUCACUGGGCGUAAAGGGCGCGUAGGCGGCUCGGUAAGCGUGUGGUGAAAGCCUGGGGCUCAACCCCGGGUCGGCCAUGCGAACUGUCGAGCUGGAGCACUGUAGAGGCAGGCGGAAUUCCGGGUGUAGCGGUGAAAUGCGUAGAGAUGUGGAGGAACACCAGUGGCGAAGGCGACUCUUUGGCCUGUAACUGACACUGAGGCGCGAAAGCGUGGGGAGCAAACAGG
rnacentral:rRNA from 1 species